AUUGAACGCUGGCGGCAGGCCUAACACAUGCAAGUCGAACGAGUGGCGGACGGGUGAGUAAUGUCUGGGAAACUGCCUGAUGGAGGGGGAUAACUACUGGAAACGGUAGCUAAUACCGCAUACCAUCAGAUGUGCCCAGAUGGGAUUAGCUAGUUGGUGGGGUAACGGCUCACCAAGGCGACGAUCCCUAGCUGGUCUGAGAGGAUGACCAGCCAAACUGGAACUGUGACACGGUCCAGACUCCGACGGGAGGCAGCAGUGGGGAAUAUUGCACAAUGGGCGCAAGCCUGAUGCAGCCAGGCGGCGUGUAUGAAGAAGGCCUUCGGGUUGUAAAGUACUUUCAGCGGGGAGGCGUUACCCGCAGAAGAAGCACCGGCUAACUCCGUGCCAGCAGCCGCGGUAAUUC
rnacentral:rRNA from 1 species